rnacentral:rRNA from 1 species
UACAGAGGGUGCGAGCGUUGUCCGGAAUCACUGGGCGUAAAGGGCGCGUAGGCGGCCAGGUAGGUCUGCUGUGAAAACUCGAGGCUUAACCUCGAGCUGUCGGCGGAAACCAUCUGGCUAGAGUCCGGAAGAGGAGAAUGGAAUUCCCGGUGUAGCGGUGAAAUGCGCAGAUAUCGGGAAGAACACCCGUGGCGAAGGCGGUUCUCUGGGACGGUACUGACGCUGAGACGCGAAAGCGUGGGGAGCGAACAGG